rnacentral:rRNA from 1 species
GACGAACGCUGGCGGCGUGCCUAAUACAUGCAAGUAGAACGAGCGGCGGACGGGUGAGUAAUGCCUAGGUAUCUGCCUGGUAGCGGGGGAUACCGUCCGGAAACGGGCGCUAAUACCGCCUACUCUCAGAUGAGCCUAGGUCGGAUUAGCUAGUUGGUGGGGUAAAGGCCUACCAAGGCGACGAUCCGUAACUGGUCUGAGAGGAUGAUCAGUCACACUGGAACUGAGACACGGUCCAGACUCCUACGGGAGGCAGCAGUGGGGAAUAUUGGACAAUGGGCGAAAGCCUGAUCCAGCCAUGCCGCGUGUGUGAAGAAGGUCUUCGGAUUGUAAAGCACUUUAAGUUGGGAGGCGUUACCAACAGAAUAAGCACCGGCUAACUUCGUGCCAGCAGCCGCGGUAAUAC